rnacentral:lncRNA from 12 species
AUAGCUCCUGAAGGAGUAACCAGCUGAGAAGUAAGACGCCUGAGAGAUGAACAGGGGCUGCUGCCAUCUAAGGAGUGUCCCUAGCAGCGGGAGUGAUGGUGCAUGGCUGUGUGCCUGUGUUGGUGUCCUCUGUGCUCCCGGAUACACAUGUUGGAGAACAAAUGCUGUUCACUGGUUUGGGGUCCAGUGCCAAGAACAAAGUCAAGAUUCUCUCUCGGCACAUUCAAGACUCUCUCUGGAGUAUCGUUCAGUCUCCUUCCCUGCAAAUUAGAGCUCAAUUCUUGCUCGGACAUCUUGGGAUCCUGAAAUGAGAUAACGUGCAUGAAAUGCAGCGCCCGCGCAGUCGGACAUGUGGAAGGUACUACAUGAUGGCAGCACCUCCAUGCUGGUCAUGGUGCUUGCAGUGUGCACGGCUCCUGGAAACACCAGCUCACAGAGUCUGUGGAGUAGACCUGCCGGGGAAGUCUGAGUUGCUGAUGACCCAUAGGACCAAUGGCAGCCUGUGCACCGAAGUGUCCCUGCAAAGUCAGGCUCCGUGGCCACUAACCAGAGCCAUCACUUCCCAGGCACACGCAAAGUCCAGCUUCCUCCCAGCUGCUUCAGCUUCCUGAACGAUCUCACCGUUCUACUGUGAAGAACAGAGAGAGACAAAGUUGUGCCGAUCUUCCUCGGGUCCUUUGCAAUCGAGUGUCACCUGGGCGCAUGU